ACAACACCGGCUCUGGUGGAGCGAAUAUCUGUCGAAUAUCCAACAUCCAACUAAUUUGACCGCGGUAGAGAAGAAGUCUGGCCUGAAGAGCUGUAGAGGCCGCGGGUCUUUGGCCCUCGUAAGAUCCCGUCCCCAGAGCCCCAAAACCGUUGUUCUGGCUCAGGGUGUCAUGACCGCGGAUACUUUAUGAUCCGUUCCUAACGCGGGUUGGUGUGUGUGAACAGGCUUCAUUAAGUGAAAGUCGCGAGUAAAAACUUGUCGCUGUAGCUAAUCGUAUAGUUCCAAAUAAAGGAAUGGCAGGACGGAGUUUGGUGAAAUACACGUGAACGACGGAUGGUCUUACCGUGCUGACGCCUGACUCCUCUGCCAUCCUACCAGUUGUGAAGAAGACCGCCGCGGAAGGCUGUUUUCAGGUCGGCAGCUAACGCCGCGCAGCACCAACGCGAGUAUUCUCGCUCUCGUUUGUAAACACAGCAGUGGUGAAGGGGGUGUCACUGCCAGAUGCGGUCCGCCGGAAGUUCCGGGUCUGGAACCGGAUGUUAGUAACACGCACGCGCAGGGUCUACGAAUUGUGUUUACUGGUUAUAUCGCGUAAAGUGGUGUUUUUUUUAAUAGUUUUUUAAAUGUUAAAAUAGUGUAUAUUUAACAUUAAAAUCUGGAAAUUAUACAUUUUACGCGCAUGUGCAAGUACGCAGUAUUUACUGUGUACGCGUACAAGUUUUGAGCGUAAUGACGUCACCACGUUGUCACAGUCAAACGUUCUUGUUGCAGCAGGUUGAUUUCUACUUGUGUCCGUCAAGAUGAGGAGUUUCACCUACUUUAAAUUAUUAAGAGAUUUUCUCUGAAACGGAAUCAUUGACUCCAGCCUGUCAAAGCGCCAGAGGAAAGACAUACGCCGUUCAUCAUGCAGUUUUGCAUUGAAAGACGGCAGGUUGUUCUACAUGGGAUCCCACCGACAAUACCUCCGGUUAGUGGUUUUGUCCGAGGAAGAAAAGAAGUCAGUUCUGCACGGGUGCCAUGACCACCCUGGAACUGGAAACCAUGGAGGUUUGAGGGCGACCAGAGACAGGGUUGUUUCUGGAUACUACUGGCCAACAUGAAAUACUGAUACCAUGUUCCAUGGCUAUGGAGCUUUCCUCAACAAUCGUCCACAAACCACUGUGGAGUUAUGAUGAUCAUGGCAAAUGCUGUUUUUGCAUGGCCAGCACUUUGCCUUCUGGACACCAGAGGCUGUCGACCUGAGCCAGGGUGGACUUGAGCCUCUUCUUCGGCUGCCUCGCAGAAAGAUCAGCAGCAAGACACUUUCGGUCAUUGAGUAAUGGCAAAAAUCCGGCUUCAUCAACAGUGUCAUUCCAAUUGAUGGUAUUUGACUGGGUCACAGGAUCAGCCCAGAACUGUACAGGAUCUCCACCUGGCUGUGCAGUGGACACAUGAAAAUCCAGGCAUCUUUAGUGGAGAACUGAAGAUACCCACUUUCCAUGCCAUGUCAACCAAUGAGCAGAAAGAGGCAGUGAGAUGUCUGCUGGAGGCGAAUGACAGUGGCGAUAACGAUGAUAUCAUCAGUGCCAGGCAUUCUUUCAUGUUUGUGUUUAACUGCAUGGAGGAUAUGAGAGUGUUUUUGCGUGAAUGUUGGGAUAACAGAGGCCUGAAGGUGAAUGCGGAAUGUGUUCAAGCCGAUAGUAAGUAGGUGCAUGUUGUCUGUUUCAUCUGUUGAAUUCUGUUCAGUC